CCUACGGGGAGCUGCAGUAGGGAAUUUUCGGCAAUGGGGGGAACCCUGACCGAGCAACGCCGCGUGAACGAAGAAGUUAUUCGUAAUGUAAAGUUCUUUUAACAGGGAAGAAAGAGAAAUUUGACGGUACCUGAAGAAUAAGCAUCGGCUAACUCCGUGCCAGCAGCCGCGGUAAUACGGAGGAUGCGAGCGUUAUCCGGAUUCAUUGGGUUUAAAGGGUGCGCAGGCGGGCCUUUAAGCCGGCGGGGAAAUCGCGGGGCUCAACCCCGCCGAGCCGUCGGAACUGGGGGCCUUGAGUGCGGCGGAGGCAUGCGGAAUGCGCGGUGUAGCGGUGAAAUGCAUAGAUAUCGCGCAGAACCCCGAUUGCGAAGGCAGCGUGCCGUGCCGCCACUGACGCUGAGGCACGAAAGCGCGGGGAUCGAACAGGAUUAGAUACCCCGGUAGUC
rnacentral:rRNA from 1 species